rnacentral:rRNA from 1 species
AGUGAACGCUGGCGGCGUGCCUAAUACAUGCAAGUCGAACGGAGUGGCGCACGGGUGAGUAAUGUAUAGCUAAUCUGCCCUACACUAGAGGACAACAGUUGGUAACGACUGCUAAUACUCUAUAGUGUAGGAUGAGGCUAUAUUGUAUCAGCUAGUUGGUGAGGUAAUGGCUCACCAAGGCUAUGACGCAUAACUGGUCAGAGAGGAUGAUCAGUAACACUGGAACGGAGGCACGAUCCAGGCUCCUACGGGAGGGAGCAGUAGGGAAUAGUGCACAAUGGGGGAGGCCCUGAAGCACCAACGGCGCGUAGAGGAUGACAAUUUUCGGAGCGUAAACUCCUUUUGUUAGGGAAGCGGUACCUAACGAAUAAGCACCGGCUAACUCCGUGCCAGCAGCCGCGGUAAUAC